rnacentral:rRNA from 1 species
AGAGUUUGAUCCUGGCUCAGGAUGAACGCUAGCGGCAGGCUUAAUACAUGCAAGUCAAGGGGGUAGCAAUACAACCGGCGCACGGGUGAGUAACGCGUACACAACAUGCCAUAUACUGGGGUAUAGCUUUGGGAAACUGAAGGUAAUCCCCCAUAGUAUUGCGGGUAGGCAUCUAUCUGCAAUUAAAGUUUCGACGGUAUAUGAUUGGUGUGCGUUCCAUUAGCUAGUUGGUAGGGUAACGGCCUACCAAGGCGACGAUGGGUAGCUGGCGUGAGAGCGCGACCAGCCACACUGGAACUGAGACACGGUCCAGACUCCUACGGGAGGCAGCAGUAGGGAAUAUUGGACAAUGGGCGAAAGCCUGAUCCAGCCACGCCGCGUGAUAGAUGAAGGCCCUCUGGGUUGUAAAUAUCUUUUAUCUGGGAAGAAACUCCUCUAUUCUUAGAGGCCUGACGGUACCAGAGGAAUAAGCACCGGCUAACUCCGUGCCAGCAGCCGCGGUAAUACGGAGGGUGCAAGCGUUAUCCGGAUUCACUGGGUUUAAAGGGUGCGUAGGCGGGUUGAUAAGUCAGUGGUGAAAGCUCCGGGC